GCUGGGAGUAAUAUCACAUACCUGUAGUCCCAUCUACUUGGGAGGCUGAGGCAGGAGGAUCACUUGAGCCCAGGAGUAUGAGACUAGCUUGUGCAACAUAGGGAAACUCCUGUCUCUACAAAAAAUCAAAAAAUUAGCUGGGUGUGGUGGUGCACACCAGUGGUCAGCAUCAAUAUGGUGACUUCCCAGGAGUGAGGGUCCAUCAGGCUGCCUAAGGUGGGGUAAACCAGCCCAGGUCAGAAAGAGAGCAGGUCAAAUUCCCGUGCUGGUUAGUAGUGGGAUCGCACCUGUGAAUAACACCGCACUCCAGCCUGGGAAAUAUAGCAACAACCUGUCUU
rnacentral:SRP_RNA from 1 species